AUUCCAGCACUAAUGCACCGGAUCCCAUCAGAACUCCGAAGUUAAGCGUGCUUGGGUGAGAGUAGUACUAGGAUGGGUGACCCCCUNGAACU
rnacentral:rRNA from 1 species